rnacentral:rRNA from 1 species
UACAGAGGUCUCAAGCGUUGUUCGGAUUCACUGGGCGUAAAGGGUGCGUAGGCGGGUCUUUAAGUCAGGGGUGAAAUCCUGGAGCUCAACUCCAGAACUGCCUUUGAUACUGAAGAUCUUGAGUUCGGGAGAGGUGAGUGGAACUGCGAGUGUAGAGGUGAAAUUCGUAGAUAUUCGCAAGAACACUAGUGGCGAAGGCGGCUCACUGGCCCGAUACUGACGCUGAGGCACGAAAGCGUGGGGAGCAAACAGG